rnacentral:rRNA from 1 species
UACAGAGGGUGCUAGCGUUGUUCGGAAUCAUUGGGCGUAAAGGGCGUGUAGGCGGUUUGUUAAGUCAUGUGUGAAAUCCCUCGGCUCAACCGGGGGAAGGACGCAUGAAACUGGCAAGUUAGAGUACCAAAGAGGGAUGCGGAAUUCCAGGUGUAGCGGUGAAAUGCGUAGAUAUCUGGAGGAAUACCGGUGGCGAAGGCGGCAUCCUGGACCGACAUUGACGCUGAGGAGCGAAAAGCUAGGGGGAGCAAACGGGG